rnacentral:rRNA from 1 species
CUGCACGAAGCUGGAAUCGCUAGUAAUCGCGGAUCAGCACGCCGCGGUGAAUACGUUCCCGGGCCUUGUACACACCGCCCGUCACACCAUGGAAGUCUGCAAUGCCCGAAGCCGGUGGCCUAACCACUUAUGUGGAAGGAGCCGUCUAAGGCAGGGCAGAUGACUGGGGUGAAGUCGUAACAAGGUAAC